GACGAACGCUGGCGGCGCGCCUAACACAUGCAAGUCGAACGAGCGAGAGAGAGCUUGCUUUCUCGAGCGAGUGGCGAACGGGUGAGUAACGCGUGAGGAACCUGCCUCAAAGAGGGGGACAACAGUUGGAAACGACUGCUAAUACCGCAUAAGCCCACGGUGCCGCAUGGCACAGAGGGAAAAGGAGUAAUCCGCUUUGAGAUGGCCUCGCGUCCGAUUAGCUAGUUGGUGAGGUAACGGCCCACCAAGGCGACGAUCGGUAGCCGGACUGAGAGGUUGAACGGCCACAUUGGGACUGAGACACGGCCCAGACUCCUACGGGAGGCAGCAGUGGGGAAUAUUGCACAAUGGGGGAAACCCUGAUGCAGCGACGCCGCGUGGAGGAAGAAGGUCUUCGGAUUGUAAACUCCUGUUGUUGGGGAAGAUAAUGACGGUACCCAACAAGGAAGUGACGGCUAACUACGUG
rnacentral:rRNA from 1 species